GGGUGAUUAGUCUAAUUAAAGACCACUAAUUUCGACUUAGCAAAUCAUGAUUAAUUCCAUGACCACCCC
rnacentral:tRNA from 2 species